rnacentral:lncRNA from 1 species
GCUUACUACGGAAGUGCGUAAAGUAGGCUCAUUCUUUGGUUUAUAAAGAUCUUGUAGUAGCCGAAGGUAGUCCGCUUGUUAGAUUGAAUUGAAUCUUAUAUAACAACCGGGGCCUUAUUAAUUAAGAGACUUUAUCAAUAGUAUAAGUGGACCUCUCAAAGGUAUAAGUAGACAUUAGUCUUGCUGGUUCGGGCGGUAAGGCCCUGGGUAAGCUCGGGGCAGCCAGUCAGGGUGAAUGCGAGUAGUGGAUGUAGCUUUUCUUCUGAAGCGUCUUAGUUCGUAGCUGCCGAAGUGUAGCAUUAAGGUGAGGAGCGCACUAGCUAGGUGCAGUCUCCUUUCGGAACUACUUCUUUUCCUUUGUCUCUCUGCUAUCCCAUCCACUAAACUGUCAGUAUCGAGACAAGUUCGGAAUGUUGGCUGAGCGUAGACUAGUCUGUUCAGGCAGUCACAGGCUUGCUAAAGCUAAAAACGGAACUUAGCUUCUCACUGACUACAUCAGAAGCGAAAUCCUCAACUUCAAAUACAAUGCGAGCUGGAACGGGGUUGCCUUAGCUACUGUGGUGUACAUAUGCCAGGAAUCACACCAUAGCCGGAGUCGAUCGAGUGAGGAUAAACCUACCUACCU